rnacentral:lncRNA from 10 species
GAUUGCUUGAGGCCAGGAGUUUGAGACCAGCCAGGGCAAAACAGCAAAACACUAUCUGUACUAGAAAGAAAGAAAAAAAAUUUAAAAAGAGGGACAUUACCAAAUGAUAAAUUGAUCAGUUCAUGAAGAGGACUCAGCAGUUCUAAAUAUGUAUGCACCUAACAAUUAAGCUUCAAAAUACACAAAGCAAAACAAACAACAUCUGAUAGAACUGAAAGGAGAAAAAGAAAAUCCACAAUAACAGAGAUUUCAACACUCCUCUUUCGAGAACUGAUAAAAAAUAGACAAAAAGUCUGUAAGGAUGAAGACGUGGAUCACAUUACCAGUCAACAUGACCAACUUGAUGUUUGUAGGACACUCCACCUCACAGAAGGGGAACACACCUUUAUUUACCAAUAAUGUCCUCCAAGGCAGACUGUAUUCUGGGCCAUAGAACAAAUCUCAGUAAAUUUAUACGGAUUAAAAUCAUGCAGAUUAUUUGCUUGGACUACAAUGGAGCUAAAUUAGAAAUCAAUAACAGAAAUAUAUCUAAAAGAUCAUCAAAUAUUUAGAAACUGAGUAAUAACAUAUUUCUAAACAACUUAUAGGUCAAAGGAGAAACCAAAAAGGAAAUCAGAAAAUAUUUCCAACUGAAUGAAAAUGCAAACACAAUUCAUCAAAGUCAAAGGAUGCAGCUGAAGUGGGCCCUGGAGGGAAAUUUUGCACUAAUGCUUCUUUUAGAAAAAAAAGAGCUAAAACUUCUUUUGGAAGAGAAAGAAGUUCUCCAAAAAAAACCACCUAAACUUUCACCCUCGGAAACCAGAACAAAAAGAGCAAAUCAAACCCAAGGUAAGCAAAAUGAAGAAAAUAGCAAAAAUAAAAGCAAAAAAAAAAAAAAAAAAAAGUGAGGUAGAAAAAGAAGAUAGAGAAAAAUCAAUGAGAGCAAUGUUUGAGAAUGCCCCUCCAGGAGGAGGACCUCAACAACCCUCCCCAGUCCGGCUUGUCCAUGGCAGGACCAGAGAAAGGACCUCUUGCAAACCAAAGCUAGCUGCCUCUGAGUUGGGGGCUGGCCAGUGGAGUGGGCGGCUGGGGCUGCCCCUCCAGCCCUCCGUGGGAUCUGGCUGUCGAGACUGGGCGUUAAGGGAGGCUCUUGGGCCCCCCUGAUCUGACUGAAUAAUGCUCCUUUCUUUCUCCCACCUGGCCUUUCAGCCAAGAUGCUGUCAGGCGUCAUCAGCCCCACACAGGGCCUGCAACCUUGUAGGUGGGGACAGCGCAGCUGGCCAGAGGGGGCCGGGUGGGAGCUCAGGCCCGACUGGACGGUGAGGAGAGCAGAAGUUCCGAGCAGGUGGAGGGAGGAUCCCUUUUCAGAGGACCUGGUCAGUUGCUUUUGCACAGUCUCCCUGACAGCUGCCCUCUGUCUGGACAUUGUGCUUUGACUGCUUUUAGCAUUUCCAUUUUUAAGGCAUAGAGAAAAUUGCAUCCGGUGAUGGGCCAGGAGAGUCAGCCAUGCACCCCAUGACAGGGACAGUGCCCCACCCCUGGGUGCUGGCCAAACCUCAGUGGCUGUGCCUUGGGGCCCCACCACUCAAUCCUAUGCCUAAGCAUCUCCCUGCAAGUUCUGAGCUUGGGCUCUGGCAGAGGGAGCUCCUCCUUCAGGGGCACUCAGGACAUGGGGGCAGGGCUGUCGGCCCCCUCUGGCCAGCUGCGCUGUCCACACCUACAAGGUUGCAGGCCCUGUGUGGGACUGAAGAUGCCUGACAGAGUCUUGGCUGGGGCUGGGGCUGGGGUCAGGUUGUGUCCAGGACAGUUGAGGAGCUGUCCAGCAGGGUCACAGAGAAGCAGCCUGGAGGCUGGGAGACUGAGCUAGGGACCCCUGGAGGCACAGGGCAGAGGGCAGUGAUGGGCUAUGAGCUGUGACUGUCCUUGGGCUUGGUCUGGAGUCCUGCCAGCUCCCAGGCCCCAUUGCAGCCACAUGGGCAGCCUAGCCCUCUCUGGAUCCUGCAGGUUCGCUCCCACUCCUGGGCCUUUGCCCAGGGCCCGCACGCAGCCUCAUCCAUGCUGCCUUCGUUGUCCCUGUACCUGCUGCUGCUUUGCAGUCUUCCCUGACCCACCAGCAGAACUCCCUCUUCCUUCAUUCCUGGAGUUUGGUGGCCACAGCCCCCGUUUCCUGCCUUUCAGGGGUGGGAGUGGUAGGGGAGGUGGCAUUCCCGCCUGCCUCCAGGCUGCACUGGACACAGAGCACUCCCGUUCCCUGGGCCCUGGAUGAGGAUUCCUGCAGCCAGCCUGCCGUGAAGUGGCAGGAGUCACUUUCCCUUGCCCAGCCUUAGUUUCCCCAUACGGAAGUGGGGAUGGGUGGGCCUGCGGCCUAGGCACUCCUACCCCUCUGCUCUCUGCCCGACUCCCAUGCCCAGGUGCCUUCGCACACCCUGCCCUGGGCGCUUGGCAGGCCUCAGGCCACCUGUCCAGAGUGGAGUGGAAAAGGGCACAGAUGGGGCCAUGAGCGGCACUGGCCUGGGCGAAGGCGGAUUUUCCCUGUGCAGGAGCCCCGGCACCCGGCUCUCCGGUGGCCACCAGAGGGCGCUCAUACUCAGACCUCCAGGAGCACUCGCAGGCCCCUCCCACAUGCCAG